UCAAUACAUACAAGAUCUGUUCGUACUCUAGGACUAUUUUGAGUUUUCGAUACCAGCUAUCGAAAUUUGGUUCCAUCAAUUUAUCACUAUUUAAUAGUGAUCGGAGCGAUAAGAUAGUGGCCAUAACUGCAAAAGAAAAAUCAGAACCUAAUUAGAAUAUGAAUUGAUUAAGCCUAAAAAUAUGAAUUUUAGUCUAAAGAUUUUUUUACUACUUUAUUCGAAUUGAUAGCCUCUACCUUCAACUCAAAAAAUUACACUAAUUUUCUAGUAGGUACUAGAAUCCACAUGGACUGCACAUGGGUCCGGGUGUGGCUCGACCAAUCCUUGUGUA
rnacentral:lncRNA from 1 species